GAGUUUGAUCAUGGCUCAGAUUGAACGCUGGCGGCAGGCCUAACACAUGCAAGUCGAGCGCGAAAGGCCUUCGGGUUGAGUAGAGCGGCGGACGGGUGAGUAACGCGUAGGAAUCUACCUGGUAGUGGGGGACAACCUGGUGAAAACCAUGCUAAUACCGCAUACGCCCUAUGGGGGAAAGCGGGGGAUCUUCGGACCUCGCGCUAUUGGAUGAGCCUGCGUUGGAUUAGCUAGUUGGUGGGGUAAAGGCCCACCAAGGCGACGAUCCAUAGCUGGUCUGAGAGGACGAUCAGCCACACUGGGACUGAGACACGGCCCGGACUCCUACGGGAGGCAGCAGUGGGGAAUAUUGCGCAAUGGGCGAAAGCCUGACGCAGCCAUGCCGCGUGUGUGAAGAAGGCCUUCGGGUUGUAAAGCACUUUCAAUUGGGAAGAAAAGCUUGUCGUUAAUAGCGUCAAGCCGUGACAUUACCUUUAGAAGAAGCACCGGCUAACUCCGUGCCAGCAGCCGCGGUAAUACGGAGGGUGCGAGCGUUAAUCGGAAUUACUGGGCGUAAAGCGCGCGUAGGUGGUUUGUUAGGCGAGAUGUGAAAGCCCCGGGCUUAACCAGGGAACUGCACUUCGAACUGGCAGACUAGAGUAUGAAAGAGGGAGGUAGAAUUCCAUGUGUAGCGGUGAAAUGCGUAGAUAUAUGGAGGAAUACCAGUGGCGAAGGCGGCCUCCUGGUUCAAUACUGACGCUAAGGUGCGAAAGCGUGGGGAUCAAACAGGAUUAGAUCCCCUGGUAGUCCACGCCGUAAACGAUGUCUACUAGCCGUUGGGAGACUUGAUUUCUUAGUGGCGCAGCUAACGCAAUAAGUAGACCGCCUGGGGAGUACGGCCGCAAGGUUAAAACUCAAAUGAAUUGACGGGGGCCCGCACAAGCGGUGGAGCAUGUGGUUUAAUUCGAUGCAACGCGACGAACCUUACCAGGUCUUGACAUCCUGCGAAUUUUCUAGAGAUAGAUUAGUGCCUUCGGGAACGCAGUGACAGGUGCUGCAUGGCUGUCGUCAGCUCGUGUCGUGAGAUGUUGGGUUAAGUCCCGUAACGAGCGCAACCCUUGUCCUUAUUUGCCAGCACGUAAUGGUGGGAACUCUAAGGAGACUGCCGGUGACAAACGGGAGGAAGGUGGGGAUGACGUCAAAUCAUCACGGCCCUUACGUCCAGGGCUACACACGUGCUACAAUGGUGAGUACAGAUGGUUGCUGCUUGGUGACAAGUUUGCUAAUCUAUAAAACUCAUCUCAGUUCGGAUUGAAGUCUGAAACUCGACUUCAUGAAGUUGGAAUCGCUAGUAAUCGCAUAUCAGCCAUGAUGCGGUGAAUACGUUCCCGGGCCUUGUACACACCGCCCGUCAAGCCAUGGAAGUUGGGAGUGCCUAAAGUCGGAAACCAUAUAGGAUCCGCCUAGGGUAAAACCGAUACCUAAAGGGUAAGUCGUAACAAGGUAACC
rnacentral:rRNA from 1 species